UUUUUUUUUUUUUUUUUUUGUUGUUUUUUUUUUCCCUCCAAAGCGCGGCAUGCAGAGAAACAG
rnacentral:ribozyme from 13 species